GACCCUUCAGUCUCACGUCUACACGUUUUGGGAUCAACACACGAUACAGACAGUGGACCCUUCAGUCUCACGUCUACACGUUUCGGGAGUCCCACACAAUCAACACACGACACAGAGCGUGGACCCUUCCUUCAGUCACACGUGUCUGAGAUCGGAUUUACUGAAAUAUUGCUUUCCCAGUCUCAACUUAACCUUAUCAGCAGCUCAUUAAAUAAAUACAACAUCCUGAAUCCUAGAAUCUUAUCUUACUGUUACUGACUGCCAGGACCCACGGAGCACGGCCUGGAACACGUGAAACAGUUCUGCAGAACACCAGGGAAAAGGAGGAGCCAUACAGGGGUGUAAAAUAGAAGGGGUGUUUAAUAUACAGGUGUGUAAAAUAGAAGGUGUGUUUAAUAUACAGGGGUGUAAAAUAGGUGUGUUUAAUUUUCCAGUGUGUAAAAUAGGUGUGUUUAAUAUACAGGUGUGUGAAAUAGGUGUGUUUAAUAUACCAGUGUGUAAAAUAGGUGUGUUUAAUAUACAGGGGUGUAAAAUACCCGGUAGGUGUGUUUAAUUUUCCAGUGUGUAAAAUAGGUGUGUUUAAUAUACCAGUGUGUAAAAUAGGUGUGUUUAAUAUACCAGUGUGUAAAAUAGGUGUGUUUAAUAUACAGGUGUGUGAAAUAGAAGGUGUGUUUAAUAUACCAGUAUGUAAAAUAGGUGUGUUUAAUAUACCAGUGUGUAAAAUAGGUGUGUUUAAUAUACAUGUGUGUAUAAUAGAAGGUGUGUUUAAUAUACAGGUGUUUAAAAUAGAAGGUGUGUGUAAUAUACAGGUGUGUAAAAUAGAAGGUGUGUUUAAUAUACAGGUGUUUAAAAUA